rnacentral:rRNA from 1 species
AUUGAACGCUGGCGGCAGGCCUAACACAUGUAAGUCGAACGAGUGGCGGACGGGUGAGUAAUGUCUGGGAAACUGCCUGAUGGAGGGGGAUAACUACUGGAAACGGUAGCUAAUACCGCAUACCAUCGGAUGUGCCCAGAUGGGAUUAGCUAGUGGGUGGGGUAAAGGCUCACCUAGGCGACGAUCCCUAGCUGGUCUGAGAGGCUGACCGGCCACACUGGAACUGAGACACGGCCCAGACUCCUACGGGAGGCAGCAGUGGGGAAUAUUGCACAAUGGGCGAAAGCCUGAUCGAGCCAUGCCGCGUGAAUGAAGAAGGCCUUCGGGUUGUAAAGUACUUUCAGCGGGGAGGCGGUACCCGCAGAAGAAGCACCGGCUAACUCCGUGCCAGCAGCCGCGGUAAUAC